rnacentral:rRNA from 1 species
AUUGAACGCUGGCGGCAUGCUUUACACAUGCAAGUCGAACGGUAACAGGCCGCAAGGUGCUGACGAGUGGCGAACGGGUGAGUAAUGCAUCGGAACGUGCCCAGUCGUGGGGGAUAACGCAGCGAAAGCUGUGCUAAUACCGCAUACGAUCUAUGGAUGAAAGCGGGGGACUGUAAGGCCUCGCGCGAUUGGAGCGGCCGAUGUCAGAUUAGGUAGGUGGUGGGGUAAAGGCCUACCAAGCCGCCGAUAUGUAGCUGGUCUGAGAGGCCGACCAGCACCACUGGGACUGGGACACGGCCCAGACUCCUACGGGAGGCAGCAGUGGGGAAUUUUGGACAAUGGGCGCAAGCCUGAUCCAGCAAUGCCGCGUGCAGGAAGAAGGCCUUCGGGUUGUAAACUGCUGUUGUACGGAACGAAACGGUCUGGGUUAAUACCCUGGGCUAAUGACGGUACCGUAAGAAUAAGCACCGGCUAACUACGUGCCAGCCGCCGCCGUAACAC